UGUUGGGUUAAGUCCCGCAACGAGCGCAACCCUCGACCUUAGUUGCCCAGCAUUCAGUUGGGCACUCUAAGGUGACUGCCGGCUAAAAGUCGGAGGAAGGUGGGAUGACGUCAAAUCAUCAUGCCCCUUAUGACCUGGGCUACACACGUGCUACAAUGGGCGGUACAAAGGGUCGCGAACCCGCAGGGGGAGCCAAUCCCAAAAAGCCGCUCUCAGUUCGGAUUGCAGGCUGCAACUCGCCUGCAUGAAGCCGGAAUCGCUAGUAAUCGCGGAUCAGCAUGCCGCGGUGAAUACGUUCCCGGGCCUU
rnacentral:rRNA from 1 species